rnacentral:rRNA from 1 species
GCACGAAGGUUUCGGCCUUAGUGGCGGACGGGUGAGUAACGCGUAGGUAUCUAUCCAUGGGUGGGGGAUAACACUGGGAAACUGGUGCUAAUACCGCAUGACACCUGAGGGUCAAAGGCGUAAGUCGCCUGUGGAGGAGCCUGCGUUUGAUUAGCUAGUUGGUGGGGUAAAGGCCUACCAAGGCGAUGAUCAAUAGCUGGUUUGAGAGGAUGAUCAGCCACACUGGGACUGAGACACGGCCCAGACUCCUACGGGAGGCAGCAGUGGGGAAUAUUGGACAAUGGGGGCAACCCUGAUCCAGCAAUGCCGCGUGUGUGAAGAAGGUCUUCGGAUUGUAAAGCACUUUCGACGGGGACGAUGAUGACGGUACCCGUAGAAGAAGCCCCGGCUAACUUCGUGCCAGCAGCCGCGGUAAUACGAAGGGGGCUAGCGUUGCUCGGAAUGACUGGGCGUAAAGGGCGUGUAGGCGGUUUGUACAGUCAGAUGUGAAAUCCCCGGGCUUAACCUGGGAGCUGCAUUUGAUACGUGCAAACUA